GAUGAAGAACGUAGCGAAAUGCGAUAAGUAAUGUGAAUUGCAGAAUUCAGUGAAUCAUCGAAUCUUUGAACGCACAUUGCGCCCGCCAGUAUUCUGGCGGGCAUGCCUGUUCGAGCGUCAUUUCAACCAUCAAGCCCCAGGCUUGUGUUGGGGACCCGCGGCUGCCGCAGGCCCUGAAAACCAGUGGCGGGCUCGCUGUCACACCGGGCGUAGUAGAUUUUAUCUCGCUCAGGGCGUGCUGCGGGUUCCGGCCGUUAAAAAGCCUUUUUUACCCAAGGUUGACCUCGGAUCAGGUAGGAAGACCCGCUGAACUUAAGCAUAUCAAUAAGCGGAGGA
rnacentral:misc_RNA from 1 species